AAUCUCAAGCAGAAGAGCAAGAGAAGCAAAACUCGGUUCCCUGUGAACUCAAGAGGCUUUGCCCAGAAGGGAUGCAACCAGUUAUUUCAGCAUUAAAUAUCCAGACACAGACAGUACAGACCCAUCCUGCUCCAAGAAACACAUCAGAGCACUGCACUCUGCCUGCCUGUGAUGCCCAGGAAGAGCACAGAGAUACUGUUGACGGCUCCAUCGCAAGGACUGAGUCAGCUUCAGGGGAAAUUUGGAGACAGACACACAUGGACGGAGAACAUCAUGUGAACACAAAGGCAGAGAUCAGUGUGAUGUCGGCAAACCAAGGAGCACCAAGGAUUACCAGCAAGCCACCAGAAGCGAGGAGAGAGGCCCGGGACAGAUCUCUCCCUAGCGCCUUCAGCCUGCGUGGCCUCACUGACACUUUGAUCUUGGGCUUCUGUCCUCCAGAACUGUGAGACAAUCAAUUUCUGCUGUGUAAGCCACCUGGUCUGCGGCACUUUGUUAUAGCAGCCCUAGAAAACUAAGAUGGAACUCGCCGGCUGGUCACUGUCUUCCCUCUUAUCACACUACCUUCCCUUACUGCAGCUACUUAUUUAACUGUUUCCCACCAAAAGACCCUAACAUCCAGGAGUGUGGGGCCCACAUCUGCCUAAUUCGCCACUACGGCCCAAGCCCACCUCUGGCACACUGGAGGUGUUCAAGAUGUGAGCUGACAUAUGAAAGAGCUGUCCUGACUAGUUCUAGAAUCUCAGGCAUGUGACUCCCCCUCCCAGAAUGUCAAUUUCCCCAUCUCUCUGCAGAGGGAAAAGAAAAUAAUUGGAGUAGAUGACCUCUGUGAGUCCUUCGGGCUCAAAAGAUGGCCGGGACUCACCACUGAAGGUGUCUGCAUCCAUCAUGGUCAGAUCAGGCCAUGAGAAACCCCACUAGAGGUGCUAAACAGAGGGAAUGGGUCACAGAGGUGUGGGAAGCCUGAGAAACCACUGCGGCCUUCCUGCUGGACUUCAGAGAAGGGCUGGCCUCAUUUUAUGGGCUUUCUGAAACCCAUAUUCAGAGAAACACACCCAAUUCAGCAUGGACUGGCAAUGCCUAUCCCCAAGGAAACUCCAAAAGGGGUGAGUCUCCUGGGCAGUGGUCACUGAGUUACUACAAGGCCUUUGGGGUUGGGGUGGGGAUGGUGGGUCAACAGGCUCCCCUAGAAGCCCUGUGCCCUGACAAAGUAAACAAUGGCAAAACAUGUGCUUCCCAGCACUCACCUCCCCACCUCCUUCUAACAUCAGAACUGGGUUUCUGAUGAUGGGAGAAAAUGUAAAUGAAAUCAACGGAAGGAUGAUCCUGUGAGUAAUCUGACAAGGGAGAACCAGCUUCCUCUCCCAUGAACCCCAGCUGCCUUGGCUUUCACCCAGACCCCUGGCCCACCCGGUGUCCUCCCCAGACAGUGGUACUCACCCACACUGCUGAGGGAGCUGCUGCUUUCUGAGUCUGAGGGCAUGGUGGACAGGACGCUGUAGGUAGAACCUGGGGAAAGAGGGGAGACCAUGUUACUAACCCCAAGGGGUCACUCGUCUUCACCCCAAGCCAGCUGAUCAUCAGUCAAUGCCAGGCCAUGAGAGCUACAUGCACCAGGCACUAGAAAUCCACAUCCACGGGCCAAGCAGAGGAGGCGCGCUCAGCAGAUCUGGACUUCGGUGUUUCUGCCAGGCCUCCCACCUCACUUUAUCGGCCCCUCCUGCUCUGGGCAGGCGGGCAGAGGGGAACUUGGAGUCAGUCAGCUGGCUUCUUGUUGGGACAUCUGGGGAAAGGCUUAGCAAGGGAGUGACAUGCCCCAGGUAAACAUGGGGUGUGGGGGUUUCCUCCACAUCUCUAGCAAUAUGAUUCUGGCUUCCAUGCAGAGGGUAACAGAGCAGAAAUUAAAGAACAACUGAACUAUC
ensembl:lncRNA novel transcript, antisense to DLG5